GUUAUGUGAAUUCUAGGAUGAAUUCUUUUGAAAAGGGGACAGUUAUGUACAUUAUAGUGACACUGCUUUAACAAGGCCUUUCACUAGGAUUCAAGCCAAGGACCUUCAUGAAAUUCAAGAUUUAUGAAUGAAGAUGGAGUAUUUUGAAGGUUUAAAUAUGGAUGACAUGAAGAUAUUUAAUGUAAUAAGUGUACAAUUUAAAUUAGCUUCUAAUUUAAAUUUAGAGAAAUUUGGCAUUUCUUUGCCCUUGUUAACCUGUAGUAUAGAUAGUUGGCAAUUAGGGAUGAAUAAUUACUUUUUGAUAUUUUGAUAAACUGUGCUUCCAUUUAGAGCUUAAAAGCACCUUAUGUUGAUCUUUAACGUUUGUCCUAUGAUUUGCAAGUAGGUUGCAACCUUCUUGUGGAUUCCAAUAAAUUAGGUGCCUUUAUGGUGUUGUGGUUAGUCUCAC
rnacentral:lncRNA from 1 species